rnacentral:lncRNA from 10 species
UGGGAAACUUCUAGUGGGUAUUUAAACCCCGCAAAAUUCGCUAACCGACGUUCUUGAGCUGCUUGCUCGAGCCCACUCCCACCUUGUGGAGCGUACUUUCAUUUACAAUAAAUCUCUGCUUUUUCUGUUUUGCUUUGUUUGUGCGUUUUGUGCAAUUCUUUGUUCAAAAUGCCAAGAACCUGGACAACUACCCUCAACCAGUAACACUAGGUGGGAAGGAGGUAAGCAAGUCAGGCACAGAGAGAAUGCUAUCAUGGCUCUAGCUGAGUGAGCAGAGGGGAGACUGAUAGAACACGACAGAGAAGCAGGCAGGUGCAGAGCCUGGAAGGCCUUGAAGCUGAAGACGGGGAGUUCAGAUUGUAUUCCAGGGUAGAAAAAAAAAAAAACAAUCACUGGAGAGUGAAGGGAUCUGAUUGGCUGUGGCAGCUGUGAGGAAGAGGGCCCCUAGAGGAACAGCGAUGGAAGCAGAAAGGUCAGUGAGGAGGCUGGUGUAAUAAUAGUCCAGGUGAGCAGUAAAUGGUGGCUUGGAUCUUGGUGAGUGGAGGAGACAGAGAGAUUAGGAUGGAUUCUGCAUGUACCUUGAAGGGAGAGCCUACGUGAGUUAUUAGUGCAGCAGAUGUGGGAAGUGAAGGAAUGAGAAAUCAGAUAUUUCCUGAAAAGAUGAGGACUGGCAUGAUUUCCGAAGGACCUUCUAAUGGAGUGCCUCCUUUAACCGGCAUGCCUCCCCUACCAGACCUGACUCCAUGAAGCAAACACUGACCUUGGCAUCAAGGCGACCUGACCCGAGCUCAGCUCCAUCACUGAAGAAACUCCUCCCCUCUUGAAGUUUCAGUUGUCAUCUGUAAAAUGGGAGUAAGAAUAGUGCCUACCCAUAGGGCUGUUGGAAUGAUAAAUAUGAAAAAAUGCAUAACCAAUAAAUAAUAUAGAACAUAUGCUCAGGAAAUAUUAGCCAUCAUUAUUUGCUGCUAUUGUUGCUUGUAUCAUUGUCUCUCCCAGGGAAGAUUCUAAGUUCUGCAAGGACAGAACCUAUGUGUAAUUCAUUUUUGUAACCCCAGGAUGCCAAGCACAACACCUGUCACAGAAAUUCAGCAGUUUUGGGCUGGGCGUGUGGGUACACGCCUAUAAUCCCAGAACUUUGAGAGGCUGAGGCAGGUGGAUCACUUGAGGUCAGGAAUUCGAGAUAACCCUGGCCAACAUGGCAAAACCCCAUCUACUAAAAAUACAAAAAUUAGCUGGGUGUGGUGGCACAUGCCUAUAAUCCCAGCUACUUGGGAGGAUGAGGCAGAAUUGUUUGAACUGGGGAGACGGAAGUUGCAGUGAGCUGAGAUCGCGCCACUGCACUCCAGCCUGGGCAACAGAGUGAGACCCUGUCUCAAAAAAAAAAAAAAAAAAG